UGACACACACAUACUGAGACAUACACAUACUAACAAACAUAAAGACACACAUGCAUGAGGACAUAAAGACACAUACAUACAUACACACUGAGAUACAUACAGACACCGACAUACAUACAUACACACAUACAUUCAUACAUACAGACAUACUGACAGACAUACAGACACUGACAUCCAUACACAGAUACAUUCAUAAUGGCAUACAGACAUACACAG